CCUACGGGCGGCAGCAGUGGGGAAUAUUGCACAAUGGGGGAAACUCUUAUGCAGCGAUGCCGCGUGAGUGAAGAAGUACUUCGUUAUGUAAAGCUCUAUCAGCAGGGAAGAAAAUGAUGGUAUCUGAGGAAGAAUCCCCGCCGAAGUACGUCGAAGCAGCGGCGGUAAUACGUAGGGGGCAAGCGUUAUCCUGAGUAACUGGUUGUAAAGGGAGCGUGGACGGCAGUGAAAGUCUAAGGUGAAAGGCUGGGGCUCAACCCCCGGACUGCUCUGAAAACUGUAAGGCUGGAGUGCAGGAGAGGUAAGUGGAAUUCCUAGUGUAGCGGUGAAAUGCGUAGAUAUUAGGAGGAACACCAGUGGCGAAGGCGACUUACUGGACUGUAACUGACGUUGAGGCACGAAAGCGUGGGGAGCAAACAGGAUUAGAUACCCUUGUAGUC
rnacentral:rRNA from 1 species